rnacentral:rRNA from 1 species
AUUGAACGCUGGCGGCAGGCCUAACACAUGCAAGUCGAACGGUAACAGGAAGAAGCUUGCUUCUUUGCUGACGAGUGGCGGACGGGUGAGUAAUGUCUGGGAAACUGCCUGAUGGAGGGGGAUAACUACUGGAAACGGUAGCUAAUACCGCAUAACGUCGCAAGACCAAAGAGGGGGACCUUCGGGCCUCUUGCCAUCGGAUGUGCCCAGAUGGGAUUAGCUAGUAGGUGGGGUAACGGCUCACCUAGGCGACGAUCCCUAGCUGGUCUGAGAGGAUGACCAGCCACACUGGAACUGAGACACGGUCCAGACUCCUACGGGAGGCAGCAGUGGGGAAUAUUGCAUAAUGGGCGCAAGCCUGAUGCAGCCAUGCCGCGUGUAUGAAGAAGGCCUUCGGUUGUAAGUACUUUCUAGCGGGGAGGAAGGGAGUAAGUAA